rnacentral:rRNA from 1 species
GACGAACGCUGGCGGCGUGCCUAAUACAUGCAAGUAGAACGCACAGGUUAUACCGUAGCUUGCUACACCAUAGACUGUGAGUUGCGAAAGGGUGAGUAACGCGGAGGUAACCUGCCUGGUAGCGGGAGAUAACUAUGGGAAACGAUAGCUAAGAGCGCAUAAUAUUAAUUAGUGGAUGGUAAGUAAUGGAAAGGGGGAAUGGCACCACGACCAGAUGGACCGGCGGUGUAUUAGCUAGUAGGUGAGGUAACGGCUCACAGAGGCGACGAGACAGAGACGACCUGCGAGGGUGGUCUGCCACCCUGGGACUGAGACACGGCCCAGACUCCUCCGGGAGGCAGCCGUAGGGCAUCUUCGGCAAUCGGCGAAAGUCUGUCCGAGCAACGCCGCGUGCGUGUAGAACGUUUUCGGAUCGUAAAGCUCUGUUGUCAGGGAAGAACGCGUGUGAGAGUGGAAAGUUCACACUGUGACGGUAACUUACCAGAAAGGGACGGCUAACUACGUG